rnacentral:rRNA from 1 species
GUAGGUGGCAAGCGUUGUCCGGAAUUAUUGGGCGUAAAGCGCGCGCAGGCGGUUCUUUAAGUCUGAUGUGAAAGCCCACGGCUCAACCGUGGAGGGUCAUUGGAAACUGGAGAACUUGAGUACAGAAGAGGAAAGCGGAAUUCCACGUGUAGCGGUGAAAUGCGUAGAGAUGUGGAGGAACACCAGUGGCGAAGGCGGCUUUCUGGUCUGUAACUGACGCUGAGGCGCGAAAGCGUGGGGAGCAAACAGGGAUUAGAUACCCUGGUAGUCCACGCCGUAAACGAUGAGUGCUAAGUGUUAGGGGGGUUUUCCGCCCCCUUAGUGCUGCAGCUAACGCAUUAAGCACUCCGCCUGGGGAUACGGCCGCAAGGCUG